CAGAGCGGAGGCGUGGCCCGGGUUCCUGCACAUCUGCUGUGUGGGGGUGCUGAGCUGGGCUCACGAUGCACCCCUGAGCUUGUGCUGCAUAGACAGAAGAAAGGGGAGCAGGGAGCUCUCGGGGCAGGCAGCCGUGCCGUCGGCGGGCCCCCCGAUGGGUGCUCCUUGGGUGGGGGCUGCUGCUGUGAGGACCCCGGAGCCCCCUGCCCCCAGCCCCUCUGCUUCACGGCCUCACUUCUUCUCACCACCCCCACCCCUGUCCAUGACGCUGGGUCCCCACGUGCAGUGGGCAGCACACUGUCCCGAAGGAGGCAUGUUCAAGUCCUAACCCCAGGUCUGUGAUUGUGACCUUACUGGCAGAGGACCGUGGGGGGUCCAUUCCUGCUGUGUCAGGCCGCCCAGCUGGCGGGACAGCAAGGGCCACUCCAGAGUCUGGACAAGCCACGGAGGGACCACGUCGCGGGUCCCACUGACCCCAUGAGCCACUUCCUUCCCUCCACAUGUUGCCGCCUCUGGAGAAGUCGAAGGAGCCUGGGAGGCCGGGGUGCAGGCUUUGGAAGAUGUCCUUACCAGGAGAGGAAGAGACCCCGGAGCUCUCUCUCCCCACCAGAUGAGGACACAGUGGAAGGUAGCUGUCUGCAAGCCAGGAAGAGGCACCCAUCGGUCCCUGAACGCCGUCAACCUUGAGCUUGGAUUUUCCAGCCUCCAGAACUGUGAGAAAUGAAACUCUGCUGUUGAAGACAAUGGGGCUGGAGGAAACCCUACCCCACACGUGCCGCAGCUCGGUGGCCUGGCCAGAAACCCAGUGCCAGAGAUGUACUGGGCACAGCUCAGGGCUUCUAGGAGCUUGGGGCCAGGCCAGGAGGCGGGAGGGAGCCCCAGGCCAGCCAGGCCGCCGUGAACAUGUCUCGGGUACAUGGAGUUAGGACUAGGAAGCUGCCCUAGAGGAGCCAGGCAGAGACCCAAGCAACAGAGCAGGAUCACCUGCUAUCACCUGACCAGCAGCCCCCAGCGCCCCACCCCCCCAAGCCAGACCUCUCUCCCCAGGUCCUGGCCCGCAGUCAGGCUGCCUUGACCCCUUAGUGGAGGUCGAGAGUUCAUGCUCUGACUCUUUAUUUUUUUUUAUUUAAU